CGCAAAGCUAAGAACACCGCGCAUCUACGCGCGAAAAACAAGACUGUCGUUUUUCUUCCUUGGUAGUGCGAUUUCGGGACGAACUAAGUGCACAAAGUGGAAAAAUUGUAGUGUCAGGAGCUGAAAAUGGAGAACUCUACAUCAGUGAAGGAAAACAUCAAAUAUUUUGAGCAGGCCAGUAGAAAUGAGAUUUCUUCCAGUUCGAGUUCCUUUAUUGAGGCAACCCCAACCAAACAAAGACCCUUCACCGUUCUGUUCUUCAUCAGUUUGGCCAUUUGCAUGGGUUUAUUUAUUUACACACUAACGCAAUCCAGCUGGAACCAAAUGUGGGACUGGAGUUUUGAAAAACUCGUCCAAG